AAGAAAUUACUGUUCCUUGUCGACUUUUGUAAGGUGUUCACUGAAAGCAGUUAUAACAUUCCCAUUAACUUUUUUUUUUUUUUUUCUUUGCAGAAAGAGGCCAUUGCUGAAUGCUUUAGACAACCCUAAUUGCAAAACCACAGGAGAAGCUUGACAGAUAACCAGCCACUGAAAAUGUUUGAGGAGCAGAAAUGCCUUCUUCAUUUGCAUUUCUGGUUUCCACAAAAAUUGUGUAGCUUCACAGUGACCAAGGCAGGUCAUAUAAGAGCUUAGUUAUCUAUUUUGCACACGCAGUUAUCCGUGCCAUUGUCACACCUGCUCAGCCUUCACAUCAGUCACUCUGUACAGUUUAGUCAAGCAGUCAAAUGGCUAAAGUUCUCAAAGUCCCCGUUCCAUAUAAUUUCCAUUCCUGCCAGGUGAGAAUGACCAUUAACUGGCUCAUAUUCCAGUUUUGCUUUAUUGAGCUGAACUCUGUUUAUAUUUGUCUUUGAAGUAACAUUUCUGGACAGUGAGAGAAGCUAGACUGACAGCCCUGAAGCCUGCUUUCUGUGAGCCUGUGGUCUCUUUGUCCGUGCCCACCUGUGGCCUAACAGGCCCCAAAUCUGUUGUGUGGAAGUUGCUGCUGCUCUGCUCGGGAAAGAAGGACGCAGUAACUCCAGCACCUCCUCUUCGGUGUGCAGAACCUGAGUAUUUGUGCUUGCUCUUAGCCUGUUUUAAAUGGGUACCUGGGAAGAGUUUCCGAAAUCUCAUCUCACAGCCAUCGACCAACAGCCCCCAGGUGUCUCAAUGGCCAGGGGUGUUCCCGGAUGGAUCCCCCAGGGAUAAAACCCAUCUUACUUGGCCACGUGGACAUGUCCUUGCAGGUACACUGUGCACAUCCCCAGAUCCUCUGCAGAGAUGCAGCACCAAGGCAGGGGACAGAAGGGAUCUGGGGAGUCUGGGGGUCACAAGGGAGAGCUGGGAGAGCAGCAGGAGAAAUGGGGAUGGAAUCAGGCACCAACUUUCAGUGCCACCCUUAGUGUGCUACUGUGGGAAAAUGACCCCUAAUUGUUAUGUUUUCUCCUCUCUUCGAAGGGUCUUGGAUGAUCUUCAACAGCCCUUUAACUCUCAAACUGGCCCAUGUCAGAGGAUGUGCUCUGUGCCCGUGCAGCUAAGGGCAGGAUGCUGCUGGAUGGCUGAAUGGCCUUUGGGGCAGAAACCUGUUUUUACUGGAGACCUCAUCCUCCUUUUCUAGGUCAGAGACUUUUGAAGUCUAUUCCCACAUCUUCAUUUUUUUCCUGAGCAUCUUCUGUGCAGUGAUUGGAGUGCUGUAUGUGCUCCUCCGUAUUUACCCUUAUUUGCAGAUAAACAAACAAACAAAAGAAAAAACUGACCUUAUUCCCUCCUUGUAUUCAUCACCCGAUUUACAUUUCAUUUAUUUCUGUAGCCCCGAACAGACAUUAGUAACUCGUACGGGUAAUAAUAGGAGUUUCUACUAAUAGAACUCCUUCCAUCUGUGGAGUUCAAAUUAUGGACAAGCACCAUUAGUCCCAUUUAGAGAUGGAUUUAGCCGGUGCAACUUGUCCAAAUGCAGACACGGCUGCAAGAAUCAGGAAGGAAAUGCAAAGGCUCCUGAUUUCAACCCCAGACUCAGCUCAGCUGAUCUGCUACAGCCAUUUCGGAGGGUGGGGGGUGGGGCACAUGCACCAUCAUUCAAAAGACAAGAUGUGAGGGAUGCUCAGGAAGAAAAUGAAGCUCACCUCUGGAGCCUGCUGAAUUUCACAAGGUUGUCCCAAAGCAGCAAGAGGAGCAAUGUCCCGAGCUUUGGCCUCGAUACUUAUCAGCAUGAAAAAACCAUGAGCGUGAAAUCAAACAACAGGCUUCAAAUGGGAGCUACAAUGACUCUAAUUUGUAUGUACCAUUAUUUGAUCUUCUAACCUACUAGGUUUAAGGUAAACCACAGCGGAAUAUCAAGCAGACAUUAAAUGAAACAGUGUCAUUAAUUCAAUCCAAUGAGAUAUGUUUUAUAUAACAAAGGGAUUUGUUCUGAUACUCAAACAAUGUAUAUAAAUGAAAGAGUCGAAAUAGAUUCAUUUUGUUCUCAAAGCAAACACAUUAAGGAAAGCCAUCAAGAAGUAAAGAGCACGGCGUGUUUUUUUUUUUUUUUUAAACUGUGCUUUAUUUAGGGCUAAGCUGGAAAGCGUCAUUCAAUAAUUACAGAAGAUUACAAGGAGUUUUAGGGAAUUGAGAGUGAAAGAGCAGUUGUAUGGAACUGCAGCUGCGUUACACAUCUGUACUUCCUAGCUGUGGGCUCAGUCUUGCUGUCCUUACUCAGGUAGAAUACCCAAAUAUCCCCAUGGGGUAUCUGCCAGAGUAAGGACGGGAGGAUAGGCCCAGUAGGGAAUUUUUUUUUAAAAAAGAAAAAAAAAGAAAAAAAGAAAAAAAAAAAGAAAGGAAGGAAGAAAGAAGUUUGAGAUCAAGAUAAAAAAAUACUAAGAAAAACAAAUAAGAACAUUAAAACAGAGUAAAACCGAAUAAAGAAUCAGAAACAAUUAUCACACUGCUCAGUUGAAGCAAACAAGUGUGAGAAUGAUGUAAAUCAAGUUUUAAGACUGUGAAAAUAAAUUAUAAUAAAUAUGAUAUACUUUAAAAUAUAUGUGUUCUUAAAUAAUUCAUUGUUUUUUUUCUGAGUCAGAUUUUUUAAAGCAAUGUCUUAUUUUUAACUGCUCUAAAGUCAUUUACCAAAGAUAAAUAUCGUGCUUUCAUUAAAUAGUUUUCCUUGUUUUUCUCUAUCAUUACAAUUAAAAGUCCUACAAAAUAUGCAAAUUUAUUUACAGAAAAACGGAGCCAGCAUCUUUUUUUUAUUUUUUAAACAUCCCCCUGUUUCUCAAAAUUCCUUGUAAACAGUUGCAGAAAUUCUUCAAAGAGAUUGUUUUCUUUAUCUUAUGGUUUACUUGAUUUUUUUUUAUUUUUAUUUUUUUAUUUUUUUAUUUUUUUAUUUAUUUUUUAUUUUUUUAUUUUUUUUUAUUUUUUUAUUUUUUAAGAUUAAGGUUCUAGGCUAACCCCUUGCCCUGAAGGUUUCUAGAGCAAAUAUGGAAGCUACUGAAGCAUAGGAUGAUGGGAAUUUUGCGGACAGCAGAUCAUGAAGACAUGAAGCGUUUAGCUGUGUUUUGUUGUUCAAGUUAGAACUAACGUCUGAUAAAAAGACAGCUGUUUUGUUUCCCAUUUGCAUUGUCUACAGAAUCGAGUUUUGUUUUGUUUAUUUUUUUUAAUAGCUGGAAUGCUUGCAGUUAAAAAAGCUGCCAAAAUAGCCAUUUCUCUCCUUUUUCUCCUCGAUAAAUAACAGCAUCCAACAGCAUUGGCAGAGUAGGAAUUUAUGCUCAAUCUAAACUCUACAAAAUUACAGUUCUACAACAUCUUUGUUUUUAGCAUUAACGCUAACUUCUAUGUAGUAUUUUUUUUUGCUUUUUUGUUUUUUUUUAUUUUUAUGUUGUCUAAUUUUUUCUAUUAUAUAGGUAUUUUAAACUUUCUUUCUUUAAAUUCUGUACAACUAUUAGGAUUUUAAAUGGGGAGAGUUAGAAGCAUUUACAAACCUUUUUUGUUUUCCAUUUUAAUAUCAACCAUCUUUCCUUUCUCUUUUCUAUGCCUUUUAAUGUAUUUAUUUAUGUAUUUAUUUAUUUUUUUUUUUUGCUUUUCAUAGAUAUCCAUCUUACCUGCC
ensembl:lncRNA